UACGGCGGUAUCACGCUUAAGCACCGGUUCACGUCCGAUCAUCGAAGCUAAGAAACCUCGAGCCUAGUCAGUACCUAAAUAGGUGACCGCUUCAGAAUACUAGGUUCUGU